rnacentral:rRNA from 1 species
UGAUGAAGGUCUUCGGAUCGUAAAACUCUGUUAUUAGGGAAGAACAUAUGUGUAAGUAACUGUGCACAUCUUGACGGUACCUAAUCAGAAAGCCACGGCUAACUACGUGCCAGCAGCCGCGGUAAUACGUAGGUGGCAAGCGUUAUCCGGAAUUAUUGGGCGUAAAGCGCGCGUAGGCGGUUUUUUAAGUCUGAUGUGAAAGCCCACGGCUCAACCGUGGAGGGUCAUUGGAAACUGGAAAACUUGAGUGCAGAAGAGGAAAGUGGAAUUCCAUGUGUAGCGGUGAAAUGCGCAGAGAUAUGGAGGAACACCAGUGGCGAAGGCGACUUUCUGGUCUGUAACUGACGCUGAUGUGCGAAAGCGUGGGGAUCAAACAGGAUUAGAUACCCUGGUAGUCCACGCCGUAAACGAUGAGUGCUAAGU